rnacentral:rRNA from 1 species
AUUGAACGCUGGCGGCAGGCCUAACACAUGCAAGUCGAGCGGUAGCACAGAGAGCUUGCUCUCGGGUGACGAGCGGCGGACUGGUGAGUAAUGUCUGGGAAACUGCCUGAUGGAGGGGGAUAACUACUGGAAACGGUAGCUAAUACCGCAUAACGUCGCAAGACCAAAGUGGGGGACCUUCGGGCCUCAUGCCAUCAGAUGUGCCCAGAUGGGAUUAGCUAGUAGGUGGGGUAAUGGCUCACCUAGGCGACGAUCCCUAGCUGGUCUGAGAGGAUGACCAGCCACACUGGAACUGAGACACGGUCCAGACUCCUACGGGAGGCAGCAGUGGGGAAUAUUGCACAAUGGGCGCAAGCCUGAUGCAGCCAUGCCGCGUGUGUGAAGAAGGCCUUCGGGUUGUAAAGCACUUUCAGCGGGGAGGAAGGCGAUAAGGUUAAUAACCUUGUCGAUUGACGUUACCCGCAGAAGAAGCACCGGCUAACUCCGUGCCAGCAGCCGCGGUAAUACGGAGGGUGCAAGCGUUAAUCGGAAUUACUGGGCGUAAAGCGCACGCAGGCGGUCUGUCAAGUCGGAUGUGAAAUCCCCGGGCUCAACCUGGGAACUGCAUUCGAAACUGGCAGGCUAGAGUCUUGUAGAGGGGGGUAGAAUUCCAGGUGUAGCGGUGAAAUGCGUAGAGAUCUGGAGGAAUACCGGUGGCGAAGGCGGCCCCCUGGACAAAGACUGACGCUCAGGUGCGAAAGCGUGGGGAGCAAACAGGAUUAGAUACCCUGGUAGUCCACGCCGUAAACGAUGUCGAUUUGGAGGUUGUGCCCUUGAGGCGUGGCUUCCGGAGCUAACGCGUUAAAUCGACCGCCUGGGGAGUACGGCCGCAAGGUUAAAACUCAAAUGAAUUGACGGGGGCCCGCACAAGCGGUGGAGCAUGUGGUUUAAUUCGAUGCAACGCGAAGAACCUUACCUGGUCUUGACAUCCACAGAACUUAGCAGAGAUGCUUUGGUGCCUUCGGGAACUGUGAGACAGGUGCUGCAUGGCUGUCGUCAGCUCGUGUUGUGAAAUGUUGGGUUAAGUCCCGCAACGAGCGCAACCCUUAUCCUUUGUUGCCAGCGGUCCGGCCGGGAACUCAAAGGAGACUGCCAGUGAUAAACUGGAGGAAGGUGGGGAUGACGUCAAGUCAUCAUGGCCCUUACGACCAGGGCUACACACGUGCUACAAUGGCAUAUACAAAGAGAAGCGACCUCGCGAGAGCAAGCGGACCUCAUAAAGUAUGUCGUAGUCCGGAUUGGAGUCUGCAACUCGACUCCAUGAAGUCGGAAUCGCUAGUAAUCGUAGAUCAGAAUGCUACGGUGAAUACGUUCCCGGGCCUUGUACACACCGCCCGUCACACCAUGGGAGUGGGUUGCAAAAGAAGUAGGUAGCUUAACCUUCGGGAGGGCGCUUACCACUUUGUGAUUCAUGACUGGGGUGA